rnacentral:rRNA from 1 species
AGAGAUGUGUGAUGACGCAUAUCAAUAAGCGGAGGAAAAGAAACUAACAAGGAUUCCCUUAGUAACGGCGAGUGAAGCGGGAAGAGCUCAAAUUUGAAAUCUUCAAGGUUCUACCUUGACGAAUUGUAGUUUAAAGAAGUGUUUUCUGUUAGUGGAGUGGCAAAAGUUCUUUGGAAUAGGACAUCAUAGAGGGUGAGAAUCCCGUAUUUGGUCAUUCCUUCUAGCUUUGUGAUACACUUUCAAAGAGUCGGAUUGUUUGGGAAUGCAGUCCAAAAUGGGUGGUAAAUUUCAUCUAAAGCUAAAUAUUGGCGAGAGACCGAUAGCGAACAAGUACCGUGAGGGAAAGAUGAAAAGAACUUUGAAAAGAGAGUUAAACAGUACGUGAAAUUGUCAAAAGGGAAGCGUUUGACACCAGUGUUGUUUUUCCGAAAAUCAAUUACGAAUGCUUUUGUUUUUAAGGAGUUAUGACUUCAUCGGCUUGCUUCUCUCUUUACUGAAACUUUCUUAAUGCACUUUUCGGUUAACAAGUCAACAUCAAUUUCUUUUGUUGUAAAAGGGUAUGAGGAAGGUGGCUUUCUUUUCGGAGAAAGUGUUUAUAGCCUUGUACCUCUGCAAUCGGAGAGAUUGAGGUCUGCAGCGUAGAUCCUUCGGGGUUAGAUACAUUUGUGCUAAGUUAUAGCUUUUCAUAGACAACUUGUUGACUAUGUUAAGUCUUGUAGCUUACUCGCUUAUGCUAUUUUACCUACGCUUAGGAUGUUGACAGCAGUAUAGACUGU